UACGUAGGGACCAAGCGUUGUUCGGAUUUACUGGGCGUAAAGGGCGCGUAGGCGGCUUUUCAAGUCGGGCGUGAAAUCUCCGGGCUUAACCCGGAAGGGUCGUUCGAUACUGUUGAGCUAGAGUGUGGAAGAGGCAACUAGAAUUCCGUGUGUAGCGGUGAAAUGCGUAGAGAUCGGGAGGAACACCAGAGGCGAAGGCGGCGACCUGGACAGGCACUGACACUCAACUGCGAAAGCGUGGGGAGCAAACAGG
rnacentral:rRNA from 1 species